GAGCGGUAGUUCAGUUGGUUAGAAUACCGGCCUGUCACGCCGGGGGUCGCGGGUUCGAGUCCCGUCCGCUCCG
rnacentral:tRNA from 2 species